ensembl:miRNA Mir6356 microRNA 6356
CUCCCCAGAGUCCUAACAAUGACUUAUAUAAUGGCAGUUCAGCACUGAGACCUUAUGCAUGAAGAGGCAGCCUGUGUGUGACAGCAGGGCACUGUGCAGGAA